rnacentral:lncRNA from 1 species
GGUUCAGAGAGAGCGCCAUGUGAAGUUGACAGCACCUUCAUCAGCACCAAAAUCACUUUUACCACCAUCAUCACCAUCACCAACACCCUUUCUGUCAUCAUCAUCACCACCAUCUGCAUCUCCCUCACCCGGCACUCUCCACACGUGUACCACAAUUCAACGGAUUUGGGGCAAGGGGGUUUAUUCUCAAAAACCGAAGAGGCAGCUGGGCUGAAUGAAGAGCACCGCUGAAGGCAGAGCCUGAUGCACCAUGGGAGCUUGGGGCCUUUUGCUGAGAAGCCAUUGAGAAUGUUGAGACCUCACUAGGACCUUUAAGCUGCAGCCCGGCAUCUGGAAGACAGAGGCAGGAGGAUGAGAAGUUCAAGGCAUCGUCAGCUGCAGUGCAUGUUCAAAGCCAUUCAGGGCCACACGAGAUCCUAAGUAGAAGAAUUUUAUGCAGUGGGGCCACACUGUGCAUCGUGGGGACUCAGCAAGACCUCUGGCUUCCACCUAACACAUGCCUUCUCCCAACCUGAGAGUCCUCUGCUGUGGAGGGGAUUCGAGGACCAGCGGACAUCGUAAAAGGUCUUGCUGCCUUCCCGACAGCGUUCUGUGGCUUUUCAGCACUCUGUACCCAAAAUGCAGGAGUUCUAAGACGACACCACAUCCUCAGAUGCUCCAGGUCCAAAUGAAGAUAAGUGAGGCAGGAGCCCAAGCCUA